UACGUAGGUGGCAAGCGUUGUCCGGAUUUACUGGGCGUAAAGAGCGCGCAGGCGGUCGUUCAAGUCGCGUGUGAAAGCCCCCGGCUCAACUGGGGAGGGUCAUUCGAUACUGAUCGACUCGAAGGCAGGAGAGGGUAGUGGAAUUCCCGGUGUAGUGGUGAAAUGUGUAGAGAUCGGGAGGAACACCGGUGGCGAAGGCGGGUCUCUGGGCAUCUCCUGACGCUGAGGCGCGAAAGCGUGGGGAGCAAACGGG
rnacentral:rRNA from 1 species